UAGUACAGAAGAACAUCCCACAGGCUCCAAGGCUAACUCCAAAAGAGGACUUCCACCAGCGUUUAGUACAGUGACGUUUCUGGGCCUCCCAGGAAAAUUCUCUUGGAGAGCUUUCCUAAGAAGAGCCAGCUUGGCCAUUUAUCAGAAGCAGAAACCGUGGUGGAAUCGUGGGGCGUACCUACAAAGUGAUCGACAUAAAUACAGAUGGAGAGGAAAGAAAGAUACUCUCUAGAGAGGAAAGGGGCUGAGGGAGAGCAGAUACCACCCGUGCCUACAGAGGACAAUCUCAAAGGGAUCAGAACUCGAGGGAAAGCCCUUAAAUGGCCCCCAAGGAGAUCUGCAAUUAAAGACAAUGUCACCUAAGUUGGAACAGCAGCAAACGACAGAGCCUCGGCCUGUUUUAAGGAGCCACUUACUAUACUUCAGUGAGUGAAAUAUGUAUGAAAUGGCCCAGGAAGACGUUUGUUCCCUAAGAAUUGCAGAAUCUGAAACGGGUCUAGGAUACUGAUUGAAGACCCUCAACGUAUAGAGAAGGAAACUGAAGACAGCUCGACAAGCUACCUGACUUGCCCUGUGCCACCUGUCACACCCUGACUAGUGCUGAGCCUGGACUAGAACUCAAGUCCAAAUUACCAAAUCACUGGGCAGACUCGGUGUGAGACCAAAAACAGUACUGAGUGAAAGAGUCUAGAUUACUUGCUUACCUGUUUGGAUCCCUGUUUCUUGCUCUAAUUGAUGGUAGAGUUUGUUUGAAUAGUCUGCCAUCUUCUGCUCAAUGGUCAAGUGUCUGGCGGUGCUUAGGAUGCCAGCACAGAACCUCGUAGAGCCAGCAGCCAGCCUGUAGGAUGGAUGCAAAUGCUAUUAGGUAGACUCACACAUCCGUGAAUACAACAUAUUCAAGGUUCCUUAUUAUAGCACUGUUUCUAACACUAAAAGAUGGAAACAAACAAAAUGCCCAUCAACAUGAGAAUGAUUUAAAAUUUUGGAGUUCACCUAUUCAACAGAGUACUUUACAUACAAAAUGAAUGAGAGGGGAGGGUACGGGCUCAAUGGUAGGGCACAUGCUUCAUUAGCACGCACAAGGUCCUGGGUUCAAUCCCCAGUACUUCCAUCAAAAUAAAUAAAUAAAUAAACCUAAUUACCCACCCCCCGCCAAAAAAAUUAAAAAUAAAAAGAAUGAGAAUACUUUUAUGCACCAAUCUUAAUGGAACAACCCUAAAGAAAAAAGCCAGGGGAAGAACACAGUUUAAGUCAUGCUACCACUUGCAUGAGAUGGGGGUAAAAAAUGAAUAUCCAGAUAGCCAUAUACAUACCUACCAAUACAUAUUUGAUUAUACAUGUAAAAGAGUAUCUAGAAAUGAUAUGCAAGGAACUUAGCUCACUUCCAGUGAGGGAAACCUGUAGCUGAAGGUCAGGGAGAAGGAGACUUUUCCCUGUAUGCUCUUUUAUGCAAUUUCAAUUUCAAACUCUGUGAAUGUGUUGCCUAUUCAAAAAUACACACACUUUAAAUGUCUUAAAA